AGGUUUUAUGCAUGUUGGGUAUGUGAGGAAGGGUUGAGGAGAGGUGUUGGUGCAUGAACUGGGUUCUGGAAGAACUCAGGUUCGGCCGCCGAAGUGAGUUUCGGCCGCCGAAUGCCUUGUGGAGGUGGCUUUGGCUGCCGAAGGCUGCUUCCGGAAGGUGGACUUUCGGAUCUGUCAUGCACAUUCGGCCGCCGAAGGUGCCGCCGAAGGUUGAGUUUCGUCUCUGGACGAGACUUUCGGAUGCCGAAGGUGCACCUGAAGGGAUAGUAAUAGGACUUUCGGCCGCCGAAAGUAGAGGUUCGGCCGCCGAAAGUAUGUGAG
rnacentral:lncRNA from 1 species